AUGCCAUCCAGCAAGAUGUGGUUUCAUGUGGUGUGUUUGCGCUUAAAUUUGCAGAGUGCAUACUGGAAAACAAGGACCUGAACUUUCCAUCAACAGCAGAAGCUGUUAAUACCAUGAGACUCAACAUGUCUUCCACACUUCUCUCAGAAUCAGAGUCAGUGGAGACUCUGCAGACACUGUGGCAGUGAGGACACAGAAGAUCACAUGUGGGUAAGACAACAAUGUAAUGCAGUGAAAAAUCAAUUCAAGCAAACCAUAUACCAUCCUUAAAAUAGUUGCAAAGUAUGUAGAUAUACAAAAAUAAAUCAUAA